GACGAACGCUGGCGGCGUGCUUAACACAUGCAAGUCGAACGGAAAGGCCCUGCUUUUGUGGGGUGCUCGAGUGGCGAACGGGUGAGUAACACGUGAGUAACCUGCCCUUGACUUUGGGAUAACUUCAGGAAACUGGGGCUAAUACCGGAUAGGAGCUCCUGCUGCAUGGUGGGGGUUGGAAAGUUUCGGCGGUUGGGGUUGGACUCGCGGCUUAUCAGCUUGUUGGUGGGGUAGUGGCUUACCAAGGCUUUGACGGGUAGCCGGCCUGAGAGGGUAACCGGCCACAUUGGGACUGAGAUACGGCCCAGACUCCUACGGGAGGCAGCAGUGGGGAAUAUUGCACAAUGGGCGGAAGCCUGAUGCAGCAACGCCGCGUGCGGGAUGACGGCCUUCGGGUUGUAAACCGCUUUCGCCUGUGACGAAGCGUGAGUGACGGUAAUGGGUAAAGAAGCACCGGCUAACUACGUG
rnacentral:rRNA from 1 species